GACGAACGCUGGCGGCGUGCUUAACACGUGCAAGUCGAACGGAAAGGCCCUGCUUUUGUGGGGUGCUCGAGUGGCGAACGGGUGAGUAACACGUGAGCAACCUGCCCUUGACUUUGGGAUAACUUCAGGAAACUGGGGCUAAUACCGGAUAGGAGCUCCUGCUGCAUGGUGGGGGUUGGAAAGUUUCGGCGGUUGGGGAUGGACUCGCGGCUUAUCAGCUUGUUGGUGGGGUAGUGGCUUACCAAGGCUUUGACGGGUAGCCGGCCUGAGAGGGUGACCGGCCACAUUGGGACUGAGAUACGGCCCAGACUCCUACGGGAGGCAGCAGUGGGGAAUAUUGCACAAUGGGCGGAAGCCUGAUGCAGCAACGCCGCGUGCGGGAUGACGGCCUUCGGGUUGUAAACCGCUUUCGCCUGUGACGAAGCGUGAGUGACGGUAAUGGGUAAAGAAGCACCGGCUAACUACGUG
rnacentral:rRNA from 1 species